AAGCUCAUGGAAAGGGCAAAGUCUUAACAAAUCUUAUGUAAUGCUCUCAUGCAUCAAACAAGGAUUCCCCAUCUUAUUACCUAAAAUUUGUUUAUCUCAUUCCUAACUU